CCUACGGGCGGCUGCAGUGAGGAAUAUUGGUCAAUGGGCGGAAGCCUGAACCAGCCAAGUAGCGUGCAGGAUGACGGCCCUACGGGUUGUAAACUGCUUUUAUACGGGAAUAACGCGCCGUACGUGUAGGGCUUUGCAUGUACCGUAUGAAUAAGGACAGGCUAAUUCCGUGCCAGCAGCCGCGGUAAUACGGAAGGUCCGGGCGUUCUCCGGAUUUAUUGGGGUUAAAGGGAGCGUAGGCGGCAUGUCAAGCGUGCUGGGAAAUGUGCGGGCUCCACCCGGGCCUUGCCGCGCGAACGGGCGUGCUUGCGUCCGCGGCAAGCAGGCGGAAUUCGUCGUGUAGCGGUGACAUGCUUCGCUAUGACG
rnacentral:rRNA from 1 species